rnacentral:rRNA from 1 species
GACGAACCGUGCGAACGUUAUUCGGAAUCACUGGGCUUAAAGGGCGCGUAGGCGGGUCAUCAAGUCCGGGGUGAAAUCCCACGGCCCAACCGUGGAAGUGCCUUGGAUACUGGAGACCUCGAGGGGGAUAGGGGCGUGCGGAACUCAGGGUGGAGCGGUGAAAUGCGUAGAUAUCCUGAGGAACACCGGUGGCGAAAGCGGCUUACUGGGUCUCUUCUGACGCUGAGGUACGAAAGCUAGGGGAGCGAACGGG